UUGGAGGGCAAGUCUGGUGCCAGCAGCCGCGGUAAUUCCAGCUCCAAUAGCGUAUAUUAAAGUUGUUGCAGUUAAAAAGCUCGUAGUUGAAUUUCGGGAUUGACGUGAUGGUCAUGCCUUAAGGGGUAUGAACUGUUGCUGUUGAUUUCUCACCUUCUGGAGAAACUUGAUGUCCUUAAUUGGGUGUCUUGCUGAUCCAGGACCUUUACCUUGAAAAAAUUAGAGUGUUUAAAGCAGGCAUUUUUGCUCGAAUACAUUAGCGUGGAAUAAUAGAAUAGGACGGCAUGGUUCUAUUUUGUUGGUUUCUAGGAUCACCGUAAUGAUUAAUAGGGAUAGUUGGGGGCAUUAGUAUUCAAUUGUCAGAGGUGAAAUUCUUGGAUUUAUUGAAGACUAACUGCUGCGAAAGCAUUUGCCAAGGAUGUUUUCAUUAAUCAAGAACGAAAGUUAGGGGAUCGAAGACGAUCAGAUACCGUCGUAGUCUUAACCAUAAACUAUGCCGACUAGGAAUCAGACGAUGUUAAUUUUUUAAUGACUCGUUUGGCACCUUACGGGAAACCAAAGUGUUUGGGUUC
rnacentral:rRNA from 1 species